GGAUGUGGGGGCAAUCUGGCUGUGACUCCUGUCACCCCAUUGAUCGCCAGGGUUGAUUCGGCUGAUCUGACUGGCUAGGUGGGUGUCCCCUUCCUCCUUCACUGCUCCAUGUGCGUCCCUCCCGAAGCUGUGCACUCAGUGGAAGAGGACGGCCUUCCCCGAAUAGAGAGGGACUGGUCUUUGGUCGAGGGGAUACGAGUAGCUGCGCUACCCUGCUAGAACCUCCAAACAAGCUCUCAAGGUCCUUCCUUCAGUGACCUCUCUAAAUCCAUCCUGAAAUGAGCCUUUGAAGGUUCUUUUUCUAA
rnacentral:snRNA from 1 species